GGCCUGGUGGUCUAGUAGUAUGAUUCCUUCUUAGGGUGAUGGAGUAUCUAACUUCUCACUGAUAUGGAGGAGGUCCCGGGUUCAAUUCCCGGCCAGGCCC